rnacentral:rRNA from 1 species
UGAGUACGAGACGCUAAGGCGUUGAAGCAGUCUAUGUCAGACUUCCAAGAAAAGCUCGCAAUGUCAUAAACAAAGAAUGCCUGUACCAUAACCGACACAGGUGGGUAGGUAGAGUAUACUAAGGGGCGCGAGAUAACUCUCUCUAAGGAACUCGGCAAAAUGACUCCGUAACUUCGGGAGAAGGAGUGCCUUAUUUUUAUAAGGUUGCAAUAACAAGAUCCAAGCAACUGUUUACCAAAAACACAGGUCUCCGCUAAGUCGUAAGACGAUGUAUGGGGGCUGACGCCUGCCCAGUGCCAGAAGGUUAAAGAAGUUGGUUAGUUUCGGCGAAGCUGAUGACUGAAGCCCUGGUGAACGGCGGCCGUAACGAUAACGGUCCUAAGGUAGCGAAAUUCCUUGUCGGGUAAGUUCCGACCCGCACGAAAGGCGUAAUGAUUUGGAUACUGUCUCGGAGAGGGGCUCGGUGAAAUAGACUUGUCUGUGAAGAUGCGGACUACCUGCACCUGGACAGAAAGACCCUAUGAAGCUUUACUGUAACUUGAGAUUGAAAUUGGACUUUAUUUGCGCAGUAUAGGUGGGAGACGUUGAGAAUAUUCUUGCGGGAAUAUUGGAGUCAUCAGUGAGAUACCACUCUUGUAAUGUUAGAUUUCUAACUUUGUAUCAUUAUCUGGUCAAAGGACAGUUUCAGGCGGGCAGUUUGACUGGGGCGGUCGCCUCCCAAACGGUAACGGAGGCGCACAAAGGUUUCCUCUGAACGUGUAGAAAUCGUAUCUAGGGUGUAAAGGCAUAAGGAAGCUUGACUGUGAGACCUACAAGUCGAGCAGGGACGAAAGUCGGUCUUAGUGAUCUGACGGUGCUGAGUGGAAAGGCCGUCACUCAACGGAUACAAGUUACUCUAGGAUAACAGGCUGAUCUCCCCCAAGAGUUCACAUCGACGGGGAGGUUUGGCACCUCGAUGUCGGCUCAUCGCAUCCUGGGGCGGUAGUACGUCCCAAGGGUUGGGCUGUUCGCCCAUGGAAGCGGUACGCGAGCUGGGUUCAGAACGUCGUGAGACAGUUCGGUCCAUAUCCGGUGUAGGCGUUAGAAUAUUGAGAGGAGCCUUCUUUAGUACGAGAGGACCGAGAAGGACAUACCUCUGGUGUACCAGUUAUCGUGCCAACGGUAAACGCUGGGUAGCUAUGUAUGGAGUGGAUAACCGCUGAAAGCAUCUAAGUGGGAAGCCCACCUCAAGAUAAGUAUUCUC